ACCUUACAGGCGAGUCCCAAAUAGGACGAAAUGUGCAUCCUGGAU
rnacentral:hammerhead_ribozyme from 1 species